AGUGGGGCCUCAGACACAUCAGCGGUGGCAUGAGAGGGAAUACUGCGAACAAAUCAAAUCUCUGAGCAUCCUUCCUCUGUGGAGAAUAGAGCUUCUGUUCAAGGACCAAACUUCACUGUGACAAACGACUCCAGUUUUAAACCAUCUCCUAGAGAAGGGUCACAUGUACCCAGAAGUUACGGACAGCAUGGAUAUGCUCCUGUGGUCUGGUCCCAGGCACUGCACGUACUAUGCGGGAGCAAUUAAAUGGAAAGGUUUGUGUCAACCGGCGUCCAG